rnacentral:rRNA from 1 species
ACUCAAAUGAAUAGACGGGGGCCCGCACAAGCGGUGGAGCAUGUGGAUUAAUUCGAAGCAACGCGAAGAACCUUACCAAGGCUUGACAUGGAGACGAAGGGCAUAGAGAUAUGCCUGCCUUUCGGGGCGGCUCACACAGGUGGUGCAUGGUUGUCGUCAGCUCGUGUCGUGAGAUGUUGGGUUAAGUCCCGCAACGAGCGCAACCCUUAUGAUUAGUAGCCAACGGGUAAGCCGGGCACACUAGUCAGACUGCCGUGGACAACACGGAGGAAGGCGGGGACGAGGUCAAAUCAUCAUGCCCCUUAUGUCUUGGGCGUCACACGUGCUACAAUGGCUCGUACAAAGCGAAGCGAAGCAGUGAUGCGAAGCGAAGCGCAAAAAGGAGUCUCAGUUCGGAUUGCAGGCUGCAACCCGCCUGCAUGAAGUCGGAAUCGCUAGUAAUCGCGAAUCAGCAUGUCGCGGUGAAUACGUUCCCGGGCCUUGUACACACCGCCCGU